rnacentral:rRNA from 1 species
AUUGAACGCUGGCGGCAGGCCUAACACAUGCAAGUCGAGCGGUAGCACAGAGAGCUUGCUCUCGGGUGACGAGCGGCGGACGGGUGAGUAAUGUCUGGGAAACUGCCUGAUGGAGGGGGAUAACUACUGGAAACGGUAGCUAAUACCGCAUAAUGUCGCAAGACCAAAGUGGGGGACCUUCGGGCCUCAUGCCAUCAGAUGUGCCCAGAUGGGAUUAGCUAGUAGGUGGGGUAACGGCUCACCUAGGCGACGAUCCCUAGCUGGUCUGAGAGGAUGACCAGCCACACUGGAACUGAGACACGGUCCAGACUCCUACGGGAGGCAGCAGUGGGGAAUAUUGCACAAUGGGCGCAAGCCUGAUGCAGCCAUGCCGCGUGUGUGAAGAAGGCCUUCGGGUUGUAAAGCACUUUCAGCGGGGAGGAAGGCGUUAAGGUUAAUAACCUUGUCGAUUGACGUUACCCGCAGAAGAAGCACCGGCUAACUCCGUGCCAGCAGCCGCGGUAAUACGGAGGGUGCAAGCGUUAAUCGGAAUUACUGGGCGUAAAGCGCACGCAGGCGGUCUGUCAAGUCGGAUGUGAAAUCCCCGGGCUCAACCUGGGAACUGCAUUCGAAACUGGCAGGCUAGAGUCUUGUAGAGGGGGGUAGAAUUCCAGGUGUAGCGGUGAAAUGCGUAGAGAUCUGGAGGAAUACCGGUGGCGAAGGCGGCCCCCUGGACAAAGACUGACGCUCAGGUGCGAAAGCGUGGGGAGCAAACAGGAUUAGAUACCCUGGUAGUCCACGCCGUAAACGAUGUCGAUUUGGAGGUUGUGCCCUUGAGGCGUGGCUUCCGGAGCUAACGCGUUAAAUCGACCGCCUGGGGAGUACGGCCGCAAGGUUAAAACUCAAAUGAAUUGACGGGGGCCCGCACAAGCGGUGGAGCAUGUGGUUUAAUUCGAUGCAACGCGAAGAACCUUACCUGGUCUUGACAUCCACAGAACUUUCCAGAGAUGGAUUGGUGCCUUCGGGAACUGUGAGACAGGUGCUGCAUGGCUGUCGUCAGCUCGUGUUGUGAAAUGUUGGGUUAAGUCCCGCAACGAGCGCAACCCUUAUCCUUUGUUGCCAGCGGUUCGGCCGGGAACUCAAAGGAGACUGCCAGUGAUAAACUGGAGGAAGGUGGGGAUGACGUCAAGUCAUCAUGGCCCUUACGACCAGGGCUACACACGUGCUACAAUGGCAUAUACAAAGAGAAGCGACCUCGCGAGAGCAAGCGGACCUCAUAAAGUAUGUCGUAGUCCGGAUUGGAGUCUGCAACUCGACUCCAUGAAGUCGGAAUCGCUAGUAAUCGUAGAUCAGAAUGCUACGGUGAAUACGUUCCCGGGCCUUGUACACGCCGCCCGUCACACCAUGGGAGUGGGUUGCAAAAGAAGUAGGUAGCUUAACCUUCGGGAGGGCGCUUACCACUUUGUGAUUCAUGACUGGGGUGA